CUGUCCUCGGGCACAAACGCUAAAGUUGGAACAACACAGAGAAGAUUAGCCUGGCCCCAGCACCAGGAUGACGUGCGGACUCGUUCCAUAUUUGCAUAUUUA
rnacentral:snRNA from 1 species